CCACCCGUUCACACGGGUGGUUUUGAUUUAAGUUGUAGUCUUAAUCUAGUUAGACAGCACUUUAUCGGUAAUAACUAUAUUAAACAGUAGUUAU
rnacentral:sRNA from 21 species